GUACCAUUCCUGCAAAAAUAUUAGUCUUCACAACGAAGGUUGUAUUCGUAAUGUUCGUUAAAACUUUUACUUUUAAAAAAAGCCUAAGUUCUAGUGGGAGGGGAGGUGUCACUAUUUAUCGAGAUUCAUUUAUAUACUAACCGACAUUGAACGUUUAGAACGGUGGCCCAACUGCCAGGAGCCCUAGACGCAGUUACUAUUGUAAGAUGGCUACUCAUGAGUUAGGUGAAGUUUUCAUAAGAACAUAAGUUCCAGGAAAGCAGAAACCUUGUCUCUCUUGUUCACUGGUGUAUCCUCUGCAUAUAGAACAGUGCUUGGCAUAUAAUAGGUUCUGAGAAUGGAUAAUCAUCUGACUUCCCUGAGAAAAUAGAAGCUCUUUUUCUCAGAGGACUCCUCAUCUCUCCCCAGCAGAUGUACUGAGCUGCUUUUGACUGUGUCCUUACAUUGAGCUUUCCGUGUAUUGGAAGAGGUGAACACGCUGUUGAAAGUGAAAGUGAAGUUGCUCAGUCGUGUCCGACUCUUUGCGACCCCAUGGACUGUAGCCUGCCAGGCUCCUCUGUCCAUGGGAUUUUCCAGGCAAUAGUCCUGGAGUGGAUUGCCAUUUCCUUCUCCAGGGGAUCUUCCCAACCCAGGGUCUCCCACACUGUAGACAGAUGCUUUUACUGUCUGAGCCACCAGGGAAUUCACUGUUCGGGAACCCUAAUCCUCUCCCUUGUGCUCUGGGUCCAGAUCCCUGCAGCCUUCCCUAAAACAGUGCCUGGCACCAAUAGGUGCACAUAAAUGUUUUCCAAAUGAAUGAAUGAGUGAAUCCAUGAGAGAGUGAGUGAACGAGUUUUAACAGGAAAAAAAAAUCACAUUUGCUGCAAAAAGUUAUUAUCUUAAUCUUUAUAUGUCCUUAUACUUUAAAGGAGAAAAAAGUAAUUUUUAUUCUGCUAGUCUGAAAUCCAGAUUUAAAGUGAAGAUACACCAAGACCCAGAAAGACGUUGUUUUUAGGAAAGAAUCUCUAAAUGAAAAAUCAAGUGAUUAACAGGCUCUAUAAGUACUAUCAGAAUUUUAAUUCAAUCAGCCCACCCCUAAUUGGAUCACAGAUCUAAUUCAAUCAAACUUCCCUUCUCUUCCUCAAUUCUAGUAAACCCUCUCAUUUACAAAGUUACCAGCCCACAAACUGUGAAACUUUUGCUUGAAAAUGAAGGAAAAAACCUAGUGGUCAGAAGUUAGAAAUCACAUUUCAAAAAUAAAAAUAUCAAUGUAAU
ensembl:lncRNA